AAGUCGUAACAAGGUUUCCGUAGGUGAACCUGCGGAAGGAUCAUUAUUGAAUAAACCUGGCAUUUGGUUCUGCAGCUGGCUCUUCUUGGGCAUGUGCUCGCCAUUGUCAUCUUUAUCUCUCCACCUUGUGCACCUCUUGUAGACCUGGACGGAUAAAACUUUUUACUUUCUUCUCAGAGGGCAACCUCUGGUCUUGAGGAUGUGCAUCUCCUUUGUUGGGGUGCUCUCCUUGUUUAAAAGAAAAAAAAGUUGUCCAGGCCUAUGUCUACACACACACCCAUUGAAUGUAACAGAAUGUAUCUAUGGGCCUUUGUGCCUAUAAAAACUUGUACAACUUUCAGCAACGGAUCUCUUGGCUCUC
rnacentral:misc_RNA from 1 species